rnacentral:rRNA from 1 species
UACGUAGGCAGCGAGCGUUGUUCGGAGUUACUGGGCGUAAAGGGUGUGUAGGCGGUUGUUUAAGUUUGGUGUGAAAUCUCCCGGCUCAACUGGGAGGGUGCGCCGAAUACUGAAUGACUUGGAGUGCGGGAGAGGAGAGUGGAAUUCCUGGUGUAGCGGUGAAAUGCGUAGAUAUCAAGAGGAACACCUGAGGCGAAGGCGGGUUGCUAGGCUGACACUGACGCUGAGGCGCGAAAGCUAGGGUAGCAAACGGG